CUCUCUUUGCCAGCUGCCAUCCAAGUAAUUUGGGAUUUGCUUUUCCUUACCCUCCUCCAUGAUUGUGAGGCUUCCACAGCCACGUAGAACUAUCAACCCUGAGGAUUGGGAAGGAACUAUACAUACCAGGAGGCAAGGAGCACUGGGGGCCCUCCUGGGACUGCCUGUCACAGCGUCCUCAAAG
rnacentral:lncRNA from 1 species